CAGGGAUGGAGGACCAGGCAGGGAGGGGGGCCGGAGAAGCGAAAGAGAUAGAUCAAAAAGAGGAAAGAAGAGGGACUGGGAAGCUAGGGCGACUGAGGAUACGCCGAGGUCUAGUCCGGCUUGGCAGCGCGAACUAGAGAGCUUUGCGAGCCGCGGGGCUGGGAAGUCAGGGCAUAAGGGCCAGGCCUGCCCUCUGGUGCUUUCGGCUCCUCGGGCCCCCGACUUUAAAGUGCUCAAGUUGGGGUCGGCGCCAUCAUGACGCCUGAGACUGAGGCCCCGCGGCAGAGCGCACUGAAGCAAGGAUCUCUGCAGGGGUCAGCAUCCGGCUUCCUCCCCAGACUGAGCUCUUGAUGAGGCAGGCAGGAGUCAUAGAUGUUGGUGGUACCCAAGAGUACUACCCCACCAUUCCUGUGCAGUGCAUGAUCUUCAUGCAUUCAUUGCUGAGGGAACUUCAAUUGCAGGUGUAUUGAAAAACAUGUGAAGAAAAAGUUACAAGUAAUAGAAGAACUAACUCAUUCAGGAGCCCGAAGAAAGGAACAGAACUUCUAGUGUGAGAUGCUGAGACCGCCUCACUGUGAAAGGUGUUCCCUGUCCAUUCUGAUAAGAGGGGGACUGCACAGCUUGGAUUGAUUCAUGUCUCUUGCUUGGAUCCUGCAACAUCUGACUACAGUGCAGGAAAUAAGUAAGGACAAUGUCAGAAAGCAAAGAGCAGGAAAUUACACGGGGUGAGAGUUAUACAUGGCCUAAUUCUCUAAGUCCUGCUUGUUCUGCCAGUGGGUUAGUGUGUUUCAAUAUCUUAUAUUAAGAGCAGGCAUUAUUUUUAAUAGUACAUCUCAUUUUCUCUCUAGAGAAAGCAGGAGAUAUAAUGCAUUCUGCAAGACUACAGCAGUGGCUUUCCAGGCACAGCCUAGUGGGCUGGGUAAUGUACUACCUCAAAACCAGAGCAAGGUCUACCCCAGAGCCUUGAUAAUGGCUCCACAGGAUCAGAACACUAUGCUCUCACACAAAACCCUUUUAAAACAAUACAUAUUUUAUGCCCCUUUAUCUAUAACUGAGGCUUUCCAAGGCAGAAUAAAUCCUGACGACUUUGUUAAUUAUAUAUUGAGGAUAUUGCAGAACUCAAGUGUAGGAAUAAAGCCAAGCCUCAACCAGAGACACUCAAUUGGAAUAUGGUACAUGGUCAGCAGCUACUCUCUGCUUUCUCUUCUGGUAUUGAUUUUGUCAAAUAACUUUCUCCACUUCUCCUGAGGUAUGGUGAUCUAAAGGUAUAUAAAUUUUUCUUUUGUAUUUUGCAAUUAAUAAAACUUUCAAAGCCACCCAUUAAAAUCCAGAUACUAAUUCUAAAUAAUCAGAGAGGAUAAACAACACUCUAGUUUACACUAAUGUUCAUUUGAUCAUCACUGUGAAAACAGGUAAGAUUAAAAACAUAUGGGGGCUGAUAGCUUAGGGCAGUGGGAUUUUUCUCAUGUUGUAACAUGCUCUCAGACUUUAACAAAACUGACUCCUUGACAGAAGUACCAUUCAUUCUAUAAAACCCAGCACAUAUAUAACACCACCUGCCAAACUUAAAACAAAGAUCUAAUCUGUCAAAGUCCAUAGUUCUGAGAAAGUUUCUACAUUUACUAACUUUGCAUUUGGCUUCUGUAUUUUCACUUUCAGCUAACAGUUCUUGUAAAUGGACGUAUGUCAACUCACGAUAUAAAUUUUGUGUUUAAAACCUCACCCUGAGAAAGACUCACAGCUCCACUGGGAUCCUGAACAUGCAGAGUAUUUUCUACCCUCCAGCCUGCUAUGGCCUUCUCUUGGCUCUUCUUCUCUUAAACUUGUAGCCUUCUCUGGUAGACAUCUCACAACAAUGAAAGGGGA
rnacentral:lncRNA from 1 species